GUUUAUUUCCCUUCAAAUUCCAAUCUGCCACCUUGCCAUUUGGUGUAAUACUUAAAGGCCCGUAGAUGUCCUCCUAGGAUCAUAAAUUAAACUGAGGUAAGCUCCAAGUUGCCUCUUUUUCUGGGUGGCAGUGCAGAAGUCGAUGUGGUGAGAGAUUCAUUCAACCAUAGUGUUGUUAAAUAUGAACAUAAACGCCAUAUUGUGCAUUUAAAUGGUUUCAUUGUUUUGUUAAAGGAAAGGAAAAACCUAAAAGAGGAAGUGCCAAACUAAAACCAAACAAACCAUAAAUAUAUAGAGUAGAAAUAAAUUAUGAAUAAAACCAUGUUCUUCUCCAUCCAUUUUCCUGUCUGUUAAAACCCAUUUUCUAAUACAGGCCAUUUGGUGUUAUUGUCUGUAGGUUCUGGAUCCACUCCCGUGCUGCCCACAGGUCCAGAGGCCCACAGGUCCAGCCUAUAUGUGACUGUAACCCUGAUAUGGUAAGGUUCUGGAUCCACUCCCGUGCUGCCCACAGGUCCAGAGGCCCACAGGUCCAGCCUAUAUGUGACUGUAACCCUGAUAUGGUAAGGUGAGUGAUGGGGUGCUCCUGGAAGUGGGUUAUGAGUAAAUUGUAGG
rnacentral:lncRNA from 1 species